rnacentral:lncRNA from 1 species
GGGGUGGCUGGCUUCACUGAGGACGCCCUGUCUUCCUUUCUCUCAUCCCAUGCGCCUUGGGGAAAGGCCUGCACUCUCACUAACCUGUAAGAGUUUAUUCAGCCGGAUGUGGUCGGCACAUUCUGUAAUCCCAGCACUCUGGGAGGCUGAAGCUAGAGGAUUACAAGUUCCAGCUCAGCCUGGGCAACUUAAGUGAGAACUUGUUUCCAAUUUUCAGAAAGGGCUGGGGAUAUAGCUUGGUGAAAAGGUCCUGGGCUGGGGGGAAGGCAGCUGGGGAUGCACAUCGGUGUAAAGGCCUGGGAUUUAAUCUCCAGGACAGGAGGUGUGUGUAUGUGUACUGUGCGUGUGGGGUGUGAAAGGCAAAUGAAAUCUUUACUCACUUUAUCUCACUGCAUUACACACACCCGUGUAAGACCCCUUUAAUAUUCUUUUCUGGAACGAGGUGCAAUACCAAUAGGCCAUUAUGUUCUGUGACUGGAGCACCACACAGACACAAGGCACGGCCCCGAAGGGGUGCAAGACAGAGCUGAGCACCCUACAGAGCUCCUGGAGCUACGGAACAGCGGCACGAGGACCUUUACAGCAAAAGGAGGAGCGAGGCCCGGCAGCCUCAAAACAACAGGCGUCGGAAGAUGGGCAAAGAUCAAUCUCCUGGUGGCUGUGGUUCUGCUUGUGCUCCAGGGAGUGUGGGAGCUGGUGGCGGAGGGGAGCACAGUGUGUCACAGCUGGGCACUCAGGGGUCCAAGAGGUCACAGCCACCCUCUGGCCACAAGGGGAACAGGACAGUCUCAGGAAAUAUCCAACCCUGAACGCAGGCUCCAGGGCUCGGGGAGGAGAGCUGGAAGAAAAGCCACUGACACGAAUGAGGAGAGGCUUCUGUUGCCACCUAUGAUCUUACACCACACGAUGGCAUCUUCAAUACGAGCCACCAGCCAGGUGCAGCUGUGGCAUCCUCAAGAGAAGACAGGUGAUUAUUAGAAAGUAAAUGUUUGUUUUAUUUCAUUUUGAUUAAAUUUAAGUCGCUACACAUGGCUACCCUCCUGGACAGUAUCGUAUAUAAAGCCUUAUUCUAAACAAAGUACUUCUGUCCCCACCAAAGGCAAACCAAACAGACCCCGCUUACAAGUGUGAAAACCGAAGCCCAUAGAUUAACUGAAGUGAAUUGAACACUUCGCCUUUCUCUAAGCUCCCGAGCUGUUUCCAUGACACGAGCUUCAUCCGAACACAGAUCUUCGGCCAGGAGACACUGCCCUGCCUGAGGCCUGUGGUAGCUCUGUUAGCCAUCGCUUCUCAC